rnacentral:lncRNA from 1 species
GUGAACUUAUUUUUGACAAACAAAAAUCUCCAACAAAGACCAUCGUAAGAAUACCAACACCAAUGACAUGGAGACUUCACUGAAACAAAAGAGGUGAAGGUGGCUUGGUCAUGUUCUAUGCAAAACAUCUGACGACACGAUCAAGGUAGCCCUGAGAUGGACACCAGAAGGGAAAAUAAUGAAGAAAGACCAAAAACAACAUCGAGACACA